rnacentral:tRNA from 1 species
CGAGGCCGUAGCGGGAGGUGCCGCCGUACGUCGGCUUCGCCCCGACGGUGCCGGUCACCGCGCCCGGCUGGCGGAUCGACCCACCGGUGUCGG